rnacentral:rRNA from 1 species
UACGGAGGAGGCAAGCGUUAUCCGGAAUUAUUGGGCGUAAAGCGCGCGCAGGCGGUUUCUUAAGUCUGAUGUGAAAGCCCACGGCUCAACCGUGGAAGGUCAUUGGAAACUGGGGAACUUGAGUACAGAAGAGAAGAGCGGAAUUCCACGUGUAGCGGUGAAAUGCGUAGAGAUGUGGAGGAACACCAGUGGCGAAGGCGGCUCUUUGGUCUGUAACUGACGCUGAGGCGCGAAAGCGUGGGGAUCAAACAGG